GGGGAUUUAGCUCAGUGGCAUAAGCACCUGCCUUGCAAAUAGGGAGUCGUGAGUUCAAUCCCCA
rnacentral:tRNA from 1 species